AUGAGCAGCUCCAUCUCAGGCUCGGCGAGCUUGGAGCCCACCCGGGCAAGGCCAGCCUUGAGCUCCUCCAGCGUGACCCGGCCGUUGUUGUCUGUGUCCAUGAGAGCGAACAUCUCCUUGAUCACCUCCACCUCCUCCGCGGACAGGUGCUCCGCGAUGACCCGCAUCGCCUUCUUCUUGAAGCGGUUCAUGACAGAGAACUGCUUCAGCCGCGCCCGCACCACGUCCCCCAGCGGCACGUUCGUGGAGAUCGAGCAGGUAGUUACCGACCGAGGACUUGGCGGGCGGUGA
rnacentral:rRNA from 1 species